rnacentral:lncRNA from 1 species
CCUCACCAUUGGAGAAGCAAUUAACAAAAUCCCUGACUGGAGUGUAUGAAGCAUCUGUUAUGGAAGUAUAAAAGGUUAGCCUAAAUCCCAGCACACAGAUGUCAGACUAGAACAAAUCAGCAUGGAGAAUUACCUGGAGGCGCCACAAGGUUAAGGUGGAGCAUAUGUAUGGUUAAAAGGUUGUUUAUGACUAGCAGAAUUAAUUUUUCAGGAUGAGAAGGUCAGACGUGCAGAAGUGAAGACUGUCUGUUAGCAGAGAUUGUUUUAGGCUCUGGAUUUCACCUGGCAAACACCAUGGCAGAUUUCAUUGGAAAAAGUCUGGAAAAAACAUUAUCUGAAAAAAAAAGAUCUGUCCUAGGGUAAAAUGCCUUCAGAAAUGUGCCCUGGCCACUGGUGUUGUAAGACAUUGAGGAUGACAGUUACACUGCUACGUCCUGUCGCUUGUACCUUCAGUUCACUGCCAAAGGUGUUUCAUGCUGCGGUAUGGAGGAAUAUAUUGGAGGGGCCAUAUGCCACUGACUUGACAUCAGUAUGGAAGUUUCUACAUGGCUUGUUACUGUCCUCCCAGAUUCAUUGUUGCUGUUCCUCAGUUUUCUUUAUCCAUAUUCUUGAAGGAUUAAUCAUUCUUAUCCACAGAGUGACCCUGGAGUGGAGAGGUAUGAACUACUUGACCCAGCUAUCAAGAGCAAUGACAUAUAACUCCAUCUGA